rnacentral:lncRNA from 1 species
ACCAACGUGUGAAAGGGUUUGAUUGUGAGCCCGGAAAAACAAUCGGAGUUGGUUCUAGUCGGUGAGCCUCGAAAAACCGACCGAGUUCGUUGUGAGCUCGUAAAACAACAAGUUUGGUUGUGAGCUUGCAAAACAACCGGCUGUAAUCCAAGGGGGUUAUAGUAAAUUCCCAAGAGAAACUUGGGGAGUGGACGUAGGAGCAAGGAGUAGCUCCGAACCACUAUAAAACUCUGUGUUUGCAUUGGAUUGUCUCUUCUCUUCUUCCUCUCACAUCACUCACAGCACUUAGCAUUAAUUAAAUAACUUGCAAUAGUUUUUAAUUAAUCAUCCAUAACGUUUUAAUUAUCCAAAUUAAUUUAAAACCCAAUUCACCCCUCCCUCUUGGGUUGUCUAUCUGGGCAACACUAA